ACAAUAAGCAAAGCAUAGUUUCUGAGUUGCAUCUAGGUUUUGAUAAUUCAAUCCCAGAGAUGGUAGUACAUCUUUUAAAACUGCUUCAUGUUCCCACCAUUUACUAUUCAAGAAUGUCUUCCAGUAAUUCGAAUCCAGAUUGAACCUUAACAAAUUUCCCAGUGCGUUUGCUGCCAGAGGUAAGCGUCGCAGUAUAGACAUUUUCCUACCAAUUGAUUGUAAAUCUUGCCUUGUGUGUUCCUCAAGAAUCUGACCACCAAAUGUGCGUUGUUCUAAAAGUUUUCGAUAGUCAUCUUCCUUUAGAACAUCUAGUUUUAUAGGGUCCAUAGUGCACAUGAUUUUUGCUACUCUUUUAUAUUGAGUUGUUAACAAUACAGUGCUUCCCCUUGCCCCACGAGCUAAGGCUCUGGGCAGUUUAUCCCAACCAUUUAUGUCCACAUUCCAUACAUCAUCGAGGACGAUCAAAAAACUCUGCUCCCUCGUCAUACUCUGAAGUUUCUUCAACAUAUCUUCCAAAAUAGCAUUAGCAUAAUGAUGAUCAUCUACAAUUUCUGGUACCGGGCUUUCAUUGUUCGAGACCAACUUAUUUGCAAUUUCCUUAAUAUCAAGAUUAUUAGACACGUCCAACCACCUUUUCAAUGAGAAAUGAUUCUCCUGACUUCUGUCAUUGGGGAAAAGCCUCUGAUGCAUAAAAAUAUGCCUUGCAAGCGUAGUUUUGCCGGCACCCCCCAUGCCUACUAUGGGAAGGACAACAAAGCUCGGAGUACUACUAGUCCCCUCCUCUCCUCUGCAACUCAGUAACAUCCUUACUAUAACAUCUGUCUCUGUAUUUCGUCCAAUCACUUCCUGAGGGG
rnacentral:lncRNA from 1 species